UUCAGUAAAAAUUUGUAAUGCCCUAAUCAUUUAGUAAAAAUUUGUAAAGCUUGAGUGAGAAGAGAAGCGCAUAAAUCUCAACAAUAAUUGAAUUUUUCUAUCAUAAGAAAAUAACAAAUAUCAAAAGCUGUUAUCCAUCAAGUACAACGAUCACUGCUACUAUGAAAGAAAUACAACCGUCGAAGUGUUGCAAAACAAAUAAGUUGAAUGAAGAACUAAUAUUGCACAAUUUCAUUUGCCUGAUAAUUUUCUAAAGUUUCGUUAUAUGUUCCCAUUCUUCAAGCAUCUUGGUGUCAGUUGAUUUCAGCUUAGCAAGUUAUUCUUAAAAGCUUAACUAUUCAAUAAGAACCGAAAAUAUUUUUAAAUUAAUUUUGUUUAUUUUAGUAAUAUGUGUAUUUAUGUUGAAAUUUAAUACUCAAGUAGGAGGAAGCGUGAAAAUA
rnacentral:lncRNA from 1 species